AGAGGCACCUGGAGCAGGAAGAGGAAGUGGUGAGCAAUCCUGCAGAGUCCUGUUGCUGUGAUGCUGGACUGCAAAUCCCAAAGACCUCAAGGGCAGCAAGAAGAGGAAGUGCCAGAAAGUUGUACUGUAGUGUCUCCUUUCCCCCUGCCCUCGCCUGACUUCUGGCCUAAGCCACUGCAGGCAUGUGGCUGCAGUUCCUGAAUCAAAGGCCAACGUGGCUGAUGGCCUCUUUACAACUGGACAAUACAGGAACUAGGCAAACAGAUAUACAUAAUGCUGAGCUCCAUCAGAAGUUUCUAUUCAUAAAACAGGAAGGACUCCAGAGCCCUGCUGGGUACACAGAGGAGGAAUGUGUGCCCCCUGCAUGAUUACUAUACCGCUUCCAGGUCUCCCCAGAUGACUCCUGCUG